rnacentral:ncRNA from 1 species
CAACCCCAGCUCAGGUGAUAACACUCGCUGAGUUUAAGAAUAUAAUUAAGUGGAGGAAAAUAAACUUACAAGGAUUCCCCUAGUAACGACGAGCGAACUGGGAAGAGCCCAGCAUGAAAAUUGGGUGGCAGUGUCGCCUGAAUUGUAGUCUGUAGAAGCAUCCUUAGUGGCAGACCAGGCCCAAGUCCCCUAGAAGGGAGUUCCUGAGAGGGUGAUAUCCCCGUCGGGCUGAGACCCUGCCGCACCACGAGGCGUUGUCGGCGAGUCAGGUUGUUUGGGAAUGCAUCCCCAAUCGGGUGGUAAAUUUUGUCCAAGGCUAAAUACAGGUGAGAGAUUGAUAGCGAACAAGUACUACGAGGGAAAGAUGAAAAGGAAUUUGAAAAGAGAGUUAAAGAUUCCUUGAAAUUGUCGGAAGGGAAGCAGAUGGAGGCCGACGAUGCAUCUCGAUUAGAUGCGGAACGACUCAAGAUGGUCUGUCGAUCAACUCGAGGUGUGAACCAGUGCAGGCCGUUGCAUCGACACAAGCGCGGGUGGAGUAGUGCCUGUUGGUUUUGCGUUGUGGAGGUCGAGGAAUGAAGCAUGUGCCCUUGGGGUGGGCCACUAUGCACCUACACGCUCGUGGUGUUGGUUGGCGGGCUUUCCAUUCAACCCGCCUUGAAACACGGACCAAGGAGUCUAACAUGUGUGCAAGUCAAUGGGUUUUUAAACCUACGAGGCGUAAGGAAGAUGACAGGUGAGAACCCCUCUCCAUGGGGUGCAUUUCUGACUGACCUUGAGCUUUUGUGAAGGGUUCGAGUGCGAGCACACCUAUUGGGACCCGAAAGAUGGUGAACUAUGCCUGAGCAGGGCGAAGCCAGAGGAAACUCUGGUGGAGGCCCGUAGUGAUACUAACGUGCAAAUCAUUCAUUUGACUUGGGUAUAGGGGCGAAAGACUAAUCGAACCAUCUAGUAGUUGGUUUCCUCCGAAGUUUCCCUCAGGAUAGUUGGAGAACACGUGUGAGUUUUAUCGGGUAAAGAAAAUGAUGAGAGGCAUUGGGGGCGUAAUGCCCUUGACCUAUUCUCAAACUUUAAAUAGGUAAGACGGUGCAGCUGAUCCAUUGAGCUGUGCCACGGAAUCGAGAGCUCCAAGUGGGCCAUUUUUGGUAAGAAGAUUUGGCAAUGCAAGAUGAACCAAAAUUUGAGUUACAGUGCCAAACUACGCGCUAACCCAGAUCCCACAAAGGGUGUUGGUUGAUUAAGACAGCAGGACGGUGGUCAUGG